rnacentral:rRNA from 1 species
UACAGAGGGUGCGAGCGUUGUUCGGAAUUAUUGGGCGUAAAGCGUGCGCAGGCGGUGAUGUAAGACAGGUGUGAAAUCCCCGGGCUUAACCUGGGGGCUGCAUUUGAUACGUGCGAUCUGGAGUGAGGAAGAGGGUCGUGGAAUUCCCAGUGUAGAGGUGAAAUUCGUAGAUAUUGGGAAGAACACCGGUGGCGAAGGCGGCGACCUGGUCCUUUACUGACGCUGAGGCGCGAAAGCGUGGGGAGCAAACAGG